AGCAGAAAGUCUCCUUUCUCCUCCGUGUCCUCUGGCAACACACCUUCUAUCCUCCUCAAAAACUCCAUUAGGUUCAUGGUUGACAGAUUGUGUCCCUGCAAGCCUCAACUGUCCCUUUCCACAAAGCCUGGCAGGAGGAGGUGCAUGAGAAGGGAGCCAAAUACGCAUCGUGACCGGAGGCAGAGAUCUCUCCCAACUGGUUUGGGUGGUACCCCAGUGGGAUUUGUGUCCUGGAAGGCCUCAGGUCACUCCUAAUUCAGGGCCAAAUUCCCAUGCAGAAGCAAGUAAAAUCCUUCUCCCUCUCCUCCAUAAAUAAGCAAAGUAAAUUGCCGCUAAGUAAAUUCAUCUUCUGCAAAUAUAUAUGUUACGAUUAUGUUGAGAGCAGGUUGAAUGUGAGUCAGCAGUGUACCCUGGCAGCCCAAAGGGCCAACUGUGCCCUGGGGUGCACCAGGCCCAGCGCUGCCUCCGGGUGAGGGGAGGGGCUGGGUGCCACAACAUAAGGACAUAAAGCUGUUAGAGAAUGUCCAAAGGGAGGCUACAAAAGAUAUUCUAUGAGACCAGGAUACCAAAUGAUAUACUGCGUAGUACAACAAAGGCUUGAUGCAGAGCUUGCGUCACAAGCACAGCGUGUACUACAGCAGGGCGUUAACAGCAGUGUGCCUCCUACCAUGUCUGAUGAAUUGCAUGUUUGCUCAUCAUCUUACCUGGCCACAGCCAUGAGACUGCACAGCCACCGAUUUCAGAGUCAGCAGCAACUGUGUUUGGCCAAGCUGUAAUGAAAAUCACAAAGGACGCAAGUGCCAAAUGCCAUCUAGGUCUUCAAGAGCGCAGCUUCCUGAGACUGAACUAGCCUUGCAGAAGUUUUCUUGCUCUACUGUGCUGUAAGUGUAAACCAGGUAACAAGAUGAUAGCAACAAAGCCAGAAGAGAAAAAAAUAUGGAGGAUAGAAGGAUACACACUGGCUACAGUCAGAUGUAAAGCGAUGAAAAACAUCACAGGGAAGGAAGCAGGAGGGAUCAGGGUAGAAUGCUUCUUGGUAGAGAAAAAGAAAGAAUAAAGAACAUGCCAGGAGACUGAAAUUCA
rnacentral:lncRNA from 1 species